GACGAACCGUGCGAACGUUAUUCGGAAUCACUGGGCUUAAAGCGCGUGUAGGCGGGGCGGGGCGUCGGUCGCUGAAAUCCCCCGGCUCAACCGGGGAAGGGGCGCCGAGACGACCGCCCUGGAGCGACGUAGGGGGGACUGGAACUUCCGGUGGAGCGGUGAAAUGCGUUGAGAUCGGAAGGAACGCCCGUGGCGAAGGCGGCAUCCUGGACCGGCAUUGACGCUGAGGCGCGAAAGCGUGGGGAGCAAACAGG
rnacentral:rRNA from 1 species